rnacentral:tRNA from 1 species
UUACUUAAUGUAUAAACUUCUUUAAAUCCACAAUCUAACAUUUUUUUAUAAACUAAUCAAGCA